rnacentral:rRNA from 1 species
UGGGGAAUCUUAGACAAUGGGCGCAAGCCUGAUCUAGCCAUGCCGCGUGAGCGAUGAAGGCCUUAGGGUUGUAAAGCUCUUUCAGGGGGGAAGAUAAUGACUGUACCCCCAGAAGAAGCCCCGGCUAACUCCGUGCCAGCAGCCGCGGUAAUACGGAGGGGGCUAGCGUUGUUCGGAAUUACUGGGCGUAAAGCGCACGUAGGCGGACUGGAAAGUCAGAGGUGAAAUCCCAGGGCUCAACCUUGGAACUGCCUUUGAAACUCCCGGUCUUGAGGUCGAGAGAGGUGAGUGGAAUUCCGAGUGUAGAGGUGAAAUUCGUAGAUAUUCGGAGGAACACCAGUGGCGAAGGCGGCUCACUGGCUCGAUACUGACGCUGAGGUGCGAAAGCGUGGGGAGCAAACAGG